CCUACGGGAGGCAGCAGUAGGGAAUCUUCCACAAUGGGCGCAAGCCUGAUGGAGCAAUACCGCGUGAGUGAAGAAGGGUUUAGGCUCGUAAAACUCUGUUGUUGGAGAAGAACGUAUGUGAUAGUAACUGAUCAUGUAGUGACGGUAUCCAACCAGAAAGCCACGGCUAACUACGUGCCAGCAGCCGCGGUAAU
rnacentral:rRNA from 1 species